rnacentral:rRNA from 1 species
AACAAGGUUUCCGUAGGUGAACCUGCGGAAGGAUCAUUAACGAAACGUGUUUGGGUUUAAAUAAGGGUUGUUGCUGGCCUGUUUUGGCAUGUGCACGCCUUUGAAACCUGGGCCAUUUUAUUAUUAUUAUUACACCCUUGUGCACCGUCUGUAGCUGGGGAUGAUCACGGAGCUGCCGCCUGCCAGCAGCUUUGAAUGCCUCGGCUAUGAAGCUUUUUCUCUCUACACACGCUUUAUAAAAGUUUUGGAACGUUUUUGUGAUCGUGCCUUAUGAUGGGGCAUGUAUGAAAUAAUACAACUUUCAGCAACGGAUCUCUUGGCUCUCGCAUCGAUGAAGAACGCAGCGAAAUGCGCUAAGUAAUGUGAAUUGCAGAAUUCAGUGAAUCAUCGAAUCUUUGAACGCACCUUGCGCUCCUUGGUAUUCCGAGGAGCAUGCCUGUUUGAGUGUCAUGAAAUUCUCGACUGGCCCUUUUCUUAGGGUUGAAGUCGGACUUUGGAGCCGUUUUGCCAGGUUUUGUUACUGGCUGCUCACAAAAGCAUUUUCAAGCCCCUUGGCGUCUUUGAUGUGAUAUAUCUACGUCAAAGCCUUGCACCAAGGGCUUGUUAUAAUAAUAUAUUCGUUUGACCUUGACCUCAAAUCAGGCAGGACUACCCGCUGAAC